CUUUUUGAAUACAAUAUAUAAAUAUUUGCGCACACAAAGUUGUACUCUAUUUAGCCUUCAGAGAAAUCGAUUUGCAUAUUCCAUGGUAUUUCCAAUUGAUAUUAUUAUGCACAAACUUCAUACGUUGUCUAUUAUAAGAGCAAAUCUUUGUUGUCAUAAGACCCAACUUUCACUCUAUCAUAAGAGCAGUUCGUCAUACUCGUAAAAAUCAACUGGUUACUACUAGUUUGAACUAAAUAACCGUGUAUGUUUCCUGGAAAAUCAAUAGUGAGGGUGGCAUUAAAAGGAGAACUUUUCUGAGGAUGUCUUUUAGAUGAAUUCAUGCAUUAACUUAAUUAUUAAUCUAUUUACAACUAACUAUUCAAGUAUUCUCUUUUCUAAUCUGUUCAAUCUGUCUGCACAUUUUUUCUGAUAUUGUUCUCAAUGUUUUCUCAGUUCCUUUUAGGCAUGGAGAAUGUAUAGGUUUUAGUUACCUAGUGUCACAAAAAUAUGCUGUUAAAGUUCUACGUAAUUCUAAGAUUCUAAAUUUCAACAUCAAACUUACAUCACUCAGAAGGCUUUGCUCUUAAUGGUAAGCCGGUGACGAAUUUAAGGAGAUUGGCUGAGAUGGUAGAGAACUGCAAUGAUGAGUUUCUGAAAUUGGACUUGGAAUAUGAACAGACAGUAGUGCUUCGAACAAAGACAGCAGAAGCAGCUACUCCGGACAUUCUUGCAACCCACUGUAUACCAUCAGCAAUGUCAACUGAUCUCAAAGCAUUGAGACCAUGGACUUAAUUAAUUGAUUUUUUGUACCUUUUAUAUAUAGCUUUUCCUGUUUCUUUUUUUUUUUUUUGUGCGUGAUUACAUUUUGUAGAAUGGAGCUUCUUUAGCCUAGCGUUAUAUAGAAACAAUGACAUCUCUUUUUUAGAGGGAUUAAUACAGUUGACUCACACAUUACGAACAAGGCUGCCCAUGUAAUUCGUAUCAAUGACUUAGGUUCAAUAUUUUGGUUGUGAUAUUAUCAAA